AGCCCGGUCGUCUAGUGGGAUCAGGGAUUCCGGGCUCUGGCCCCGGAGACGCCGGUUCGAAUCCGGCCCGGGCUACCA
rnacentral:tRNA from 1 species